rnacentral:rRNA from 1 species
UCCAGACUCCUACGGGAGGCAGCAGUGAGGAAUAUUGGUCAAUGGGCGGGAGCCUGAACCAGCCAAGCCGCGUGAAGGAAGAAGGCGCCAGGCGUCGUAAACUUCUUUUGUCGGGGAACAAAGGGCGCCACGCGUGGCGUUGUGAGUGUACCCGGAGAAAAAGCAUCGGCUAACUCCGUGCCAGCAGCCGCGGUAAUACGGAGGAUGCGAGCGUUAUCCGAGUUUAUUGGGUUUAAAGGGUGCGUAGGCGGGGUGUUAAGACAGCGGUAAAAUGGCGGGGCGCACCCCCGGCCUGCCGUUGAAACUGGCGGCCUCGAGUGGGCGAGAAGUAUGCGGAAUGCGUGGUGUAGCGGUGAAAUGCAUAGAUAUCGCGCAGAACUCCGAUUGCGAAGGCAGCAUACCGGUGCACAACUGACGCUCAGGCACGAAAGCGUGGGUAUCGAACAGGAGUAGAUACCCGCGUAGGA